rnacentral:rRNA from 1 species
GACGUAGGGGACGAGCGUUGUCCGGAUUCAUUGGGCGUAAAGAGCUCGUAGGCGGUCUGUCGCGUCUGCUGUGAAAACUCAGGGCUUAACCCUGAGCUUGCAGUGGGUACGGGCAGACUAGGAGUGCGGUAGGGGAGACUGGAAUUCCUGGUGUAGCGGUGAAAUGCGCAGAUAUCAGGAGGAACACCGGUGGCGAAGGCGGGUCUCUGGGCCGUAAACUGACGCUGGAGGAGCGAAAGCGUGGGGAGCGAACAGG